rnacentral:lncRNA from 1 species
GCAGCAUUAUCUGGGUUUCCCAGCACAUGCAAAGCCCAAAGUUCAGUAAUCCUGUCAUCCUUCUGGGCUAGACCUGGAGACUGGGUCUUCUCAAACCAGAUCACACGAUGGGGGUUUUUCUUUGAACAUGACAGGAUUUGCACAGGGGGACCUCCUCGAAGAGUUGCCUACUACUGCCCCCUUGUUGUCUCCUCCUCCUCCUUCUCCUUCCUCCUCCAACCUGUAUUUUACCAGAAUGAAGGAGAUGAGAAGCUUCACACAGUCUCACAAGGAAGACUCAGCUCACUAUGAAUGUUUCCAGCUGGGUUCUGUCAGCCUCUGUUCCACCAUAAAUCAUAUCUGCCUUCAGAUCCAAAGGUGCUAACUGAUGAAGCAGAAAUAAUGCAAUCUCAGCUGGCUUUGUGGCCUACUUACAGCACAGCUCUAGUAGGAAUGCAGACUGCCGCUACGUUCUGGAUAAUUCCAUAAAAAUGUUAUAUCCUUUCCAACUCACUGUUUUGUAAUCCUUCCAGUUCCUGGGACUAUUCUUUUCACUGAAUAUAGAAAAUAAUGUUUACACUGCAUUAUUUUCAGUCAAAAAGAAAUACUGGAAAUUGGUCCAAUGUCCUAGCCAGGGAGGGAUGAUCCACAGUUUUAAAAGCAUUCACUUUUCAUCUUCUUUCUUACUAUUUGUGUUAAUACUGUGGUUGAACCUAAUGGUUAAAUAUUAUGCUUUAAAAUUAAACACCAGGUUCUAAGGCUUAAGACAAUAACUAUUAAAGACUGAAUAAAACCUGAGGGGGUGAGAACA